rnacentral:rRNA from 1 species
AGCUAUGCUUGUCUCAAAGAUUAAGCCAUGCAUGUGUAAGUACACGCCAAACUAAGGCGAAACCGCGAAUGGCUCAUUAAAUCAGUUGUGGUUCCUUAGAUCAUACCACAUCCUACUUGGAUAACUGUGGUAAUUCUAGAGCUAAUACAUGCCGAGAGUACCUCGAGCCCGCGAGGGCGAGGGGAGCAUUUAUUAGACCAAAACCAAUGGGUUGUGGCUCGUCCACUUCCCUUUCCCUUGGUGACUCUGAAUAACUUUGUGCUGAUCGCAUGGCCUUGUGCCGGCGACAUAUCUUUCAAGUGUCUGCCUUAUCAACUUUCGACGGUAGAUUACAAGCCUACCGUGGUUAUAACAGGUGACGGGGAAUCAGGGUUCGAUUCCGGAGAGGGAGCCUGAGAAACGGCUGCCACAUCUAAGGAAGGCAGCAGGCGCGCAAAUUACCCACUCCCGGCACGGGGAGGUAGUGACAAAAAAUAACGAUACGGGACUCGUCCGAGGCCUCGUAAUUGGAAUGAGUACAAUCUAAAUCCCUUAACGAGGAUCUAUUGGAGGGCAAGUCUGGUGCCAGCAGCCGCGGUAAUUCCAGCUCCAAUAGCGUAUAUUAAAGUUGUUGCGGUUAAAAAGCUCGUAGUUGAAUCUCAGUUCUGGACGUGCACGGGUUCGCCAACACACUGGUGAACUGCUGACAUGCCUGGAGCAAAACCGCCCGGCUUGUCCCACGGUGCUCUUAACCGAGUGUUGUGGGUGGCCGACAUUUUUACUUUGAGAAAACCAGAGUGCUUAAAGCAGGCGUAUGACGCCCGAAUGACUGUGCAUGGAAUAAUGGAAAAGGAUCUCGCUUCUGUCUUUGUUGGUUCUUCGGAAGGCGAGAUAAUGAUUAAUAGGGACAGACGGGGGCAUUCGUAUUGCGACGUUAGAGGUGAAAUUCUUGGAUCGUCGCACGACGAACUACUGCGAACGCAUUUGCCAAGAAUGUAUUCGUUAAUCAAGAACGAAAGUUAGAGGUUCGAAGGCGAUCAGAUACCGCCCUAGUUCUAACCAUAAACGAUGCCAACUGGCGAUCCGCCCCAGUUAAAUGUACGACUGGGCCGGGCAGCCUCCGGGAAACCAAAGUCUUUGGGUUCCGGGGGAAGUAUGGUUGCAAAGCUGAAACUUAAAGGAAUUGACGGAAGGGCACCACCAGGAGUGGAGCCUGCGGCUUAAUUUGACUCAACACGGGAAACCUCACCAGGCCCGGACACCAAAAGGAUUGACAGAUUGAGAGCUCUUUCUUGAUUUGGUGGGUGGUGGUGCAUGGCCGUUCUUAGUUGGUGGAGCGAUUUGUCUGGUUAAUUCCGAUAACGAACGAGACUCUAGCCUGCUAACUAGCUGGUGGAUCAUUUGAAUUGAUGCGACAAACCAGCUUCAAGCCUUCUGGUUUGGACUGGAUAGUUGCGUCCACCGUGUCUUCUUAGAGGGACAGGCGACCCAUAGUCGCACGAGACGGAGCAAUAACAGGUCUGUGAUGCCCUUAGAUGUCCUGGGCCGCACGCGCGCUACACUGGAGGAAUCAGCGUGCACUCCCUGCCCGAGAGGGCCGGGUAACCCGCUGAAAUUCCUUCGUGAUUGGGAUCGGGGUUUGCAACUAUCCCCCGUGAACGAGGAAUUCCCAGUAAGCGCGAGUCAUGAGCUUGCGUUGAUUACGUCCCUGCCCUUUGUACACACCGCCCGUCGCUACUACCGAUUGAAUGAUUUAGUGAGGCCUUUGGACUGGCUCGCCGGUGUGCGUCGCCUUCGGGUUGGCGUCACGCUGGUUAAUCGGGCCGGGAAGCUGGCCAAACUUGACCAUUUAGAGGAAGUAAAAGUCGUAACAAGGUUUCCGUAGGUG